GCGGGCGUAGCUCAAUGGUAGAGCCCCAGCCUUCCAAGCUGAUUACGCGGGUUCGAUUCCCGUCGCCCGCU
rnacentral:tRNA from 2 species